ACUCAAAGGAAUUGACGGGGGCCCGCACAAGCGGUGGAGCAUGUGGAUUAAUACGUCACUAACCGUAGAACCUUACCCAGGCUUGACAUCUGCGGAACCCCGGUGAAAGCCGGGGGUGCCCCGUAAGGGGAGCCGCAAGACAGGUGUUGCAUGGCUGUCGUCAGCUCGUGUCGUGAGAUGUUGGGUUAAGUCCCGCAACGAGCGCAACCCCCGCCCCGUGUUGCCAGCGUAAAGUCGGGCACUCUCGGGGGACCGCUGCGUAAGUUAGAGGAAGGUGGGGAUGACGUCAAGUCAGCAUGGCCCUUACGCCUGGGGCUUCACACAUGCUACAAUGGCCGGUACAAAGGGUUCCUAACUCGCGAGAGGGCGGCAAUCCCAAAAAGCCGGUCCCAGUUCGGAUCGCAGGCUGCAACUCGCCUGCGUGAAGUCGGAAUCGCUAGUAACCGCCGGUCAGCUAUACGGCGGUGAAUACGUUCCCGGGCCUUGUACACACCGCCCGU
rnacentral:rRNA from 1 species